rnacentral:rRNA from 1 species
CCUACGGGAGGCAGCGGUGGGGAAUAUUGGACAAUGGGCGAAAGCCUGAUCCAGCCAUGCCGCGUGUGUGAAGAAGGCCUUCGGGUUGUAAAGCACUUUCAGUGGGGAAGAAAGCCUUGGGGCUAAUACCCUCGAGGAAGGACAUCACCCACAGAAGAAGCACCGGCUAACUCCGUGCCAGCAGCCGCGGUAAUACGGAGGGUGCGAGCGUUAAUCGGAAUUACUGGGCGUAAAGCGCGCGUAGGCGGUCUGAUAAGCCGGUUGUGAAAGCCCCGGGCUCAACCUGGGAACGGCAUCCGGAACUGUCAGGCUAGAGUGCAGGAGAGGAAGGUAGAAUUCCCGGUGUAGCGGUGAAAUGCGUAGAGAUCGGGAGGAAUACCAGUGGCGAAGGCGGCCUUCUGGACUGACACUGACGCUGAGGUGCGAAAGCGUGGGUAGCAAACAGGAUUAGAUACCCUAGUAGUC